GGGACUGUGGCUCAGCGGUAGAGCGCUCGCCUAGUAUGUGUGAGGCCCUGGAUUCGAUCCUCAGCACCA
rnacentral:tRNA from 1 species